AGUUUAUCAUUUUAACUUCACAGAGACCAACAUCAGACCCAGCUAGAAAACCUUCUUAUACUUAUGUUUUAAACAACCAGUAGAGAUGAAAAUACGUCUGGUUUGUGGGCUAUGGAUGCUGCUUAGUCUUUACACUGCAAAUGCCAUCUGGUGCCACGAAUGUGCUAAACGACUGACACAGGGGGGCUGUCCUCGCAUACAUGAAUUCUGUUGGGCAGAUGAAACAGAAGGAUGCUACACUCAUGUGAUCUCUCUUGGAACAGUAACAACAAAGUCUGAAGCAGGUUGUGUCCCAGAUUGUGUUAGCAGAAGAAUCAGCCAACCCCUCUUGCAGAGCAUGUUCACUUGCUGUUUCACAGACUAUUGCAAUGAAUAGUUUUGGUUUCGAAGAGCAAAAAGCUUGGAAGAAGAAAGUGCUUGCUGUCAAGACAUCAGAAGUGCUGUGCCGCUCUUGCUCCUCUCACUUCUGUUCUGCUUUGGACUUAGCAUUCUGCAAGAAGAAUAUGUAGCCAAUAUAACCAAAUGAGCAAUGUACUGUAUUCUCUUGUCUAUUUUGUUGUCAUAAUCAGGAUCUUUGCAAUUAAAUCAGAGAGGAUGAAGGGG